rnacentral:rRNA from 1 species
GAUGAACGCUGACAGAAUGCUUAACACAUGCAAGUCAACUUGAAUUUGGGUUUUUUAACUUAGAUUUGGGUGGCAGACGGGUGAGUAACGCGUAAAGAACUUGCCUCACAGCUAGGGACAACAUUUGGAAACGAAUGCUAAUACCUGAUAUUAUGAUUAUAAGGCAUCUUAGAAUUAUGAAAGCUAUAUGCGCUGUGAGAGAGCUUUGCGUCCCAUUAGCUAGUUGGAGAGGUAACGGCUCACCAAGGCGAUGAUGGGUAGCCGGCCUGAGAGGGUGAACGGCCACAAGGGGACUGAGACACGGCCCUUACUCCUACGGGAGGCAGCAGUGGGGAAUAUUGGACAAUGGACCAAGAGUCUGAUCCAGCAAUUCUGUGUGCACGAUGACGUUUUUCGGAAUGUAAAGUGCUUUCAGUUGGGAAGAAAAAAAUGACGGUACCAACAGAAGAAGUGACGGCUAAAUACGUG